GUUAAGGGCUUUUUUGCGACACAAGGGAUGCAAUGUGUCAAGGUGGUCUUGCAGUACGCUGCCUCACCCAAAGCAAAAAGAUGGCACAUCAUGUGGUGUCUUUGCUUUGAAAUUUGCAGAAUGUGUACUCAUAGAGGAGCCAAUUGUUUUUCUUAAUUCGGCAGAGGGAGUGGAAGAAUUGAGGAAAGCAAUAGCUGUCACUCUUCUACAAAACAGUGAUUGCCUGUGACAACUGCAACCGUUGGUACCACCAAUCAUGCGUCCAGGGGAAAUCAAUGGGUAUUUUCUGUGUCCUGUCUGUUAAAAUUCUGCUGACAUGAAGAACACAUACAAAGA